UUCUGUGCUUGCUGGGAAUUCCAUUUACUGGAUGCUUAUUGGGAAUUUCAAUGGAAUUCUCGAGUUUGACCUGGAAAAGCAAAGCCUUGCUGUCAUACGGGUGCCAGAGCGGAUGCUUCAGUUCCAGUUCUUCAUGAUGCGGGCAGAGGGUGGGGGCCUCGGUUUACUCUUGGUAACAGGGAGCGGCAUCCAACUGUGGAAGAGGAAGACCGAUUGUGAUGGUGCUACUUCAUGGGCGCUCGGAAGAACUAUUGAACUGAAUAAGCUGCUUUCCCUGAAUUCACACACCAAAACAGUAAUAGGUUUCGCUGAGGAAAAUAAUGUGGUGUUCCUGUGGGCAGGUGGUCCUGUCUUUAUGGUCCAUCUUGAGUCAUUGCAGUUCAAGAAAUUAUUUGAAACCAACAUAGUUUCUGAAUAUCAGCCAUUUGAAAGUGUCUUCACUGCAGAAACAGGAAUUGGUGGUGGAAAUGAUGCAGCUGAUAUUUUGCACCAUCCAUAAGAUGAUUGUCUGGUUCAGUAUGCUAUUGUGAUGUACUAGUUGAGCAGAUAUAGGAUCACAUUCUGGUGGCUGAGAUGCAGAAAUGGGUUGUGUGCUGUAGGUUCUUCCAUUUGUAUGCUGCUUCAUCCGGAAAUUGGCCCUCUAUACUGGUCAACUGUCAAGUUCGGUUUCUGCGAAUUAAUCGCUUCAUUUGCUAGAUUACCAUCUAUUAUCUAGUCUUUGUAGACAUUAGUCAACUGGGCUUAGUGAUUGGUGUUUACACUGUCAGUUAAUCCUGGGUUCAUUUGCUUAUGCCUUCCAAGCAAGCACGUUAAUGCAGGUCACCUGUGGGUUGUGUACUGCUGUGUGUUAUUUAUGUACCGUUUACCUAUAUCAGUUAACCCAUGUUGUGUCAGGUUAGGAUUUCAACUCUAAAUCUCUGCUUAUGUUUCAUCACAUGAUGCUCCCUUUAUUUCUUCAUGUGUGUGCAUGCGUGCUGUAUUUGUAGUAGGUAAGAAUUUGCAUUACAGAAUGAUAACUUUAAAUUUGUAUCAUGAUUACACAUGUUCUUGAAUCCUAGACAUCACGUACUACCUCUGUCUA